GGCCUGUUGAAAACUACAACUCCGUUAAUUGCUCAGCACUAGUAUCAUAACAUGUCCAUGAUUCAAAUGGUUUAGCAAUCUCCAAAAAUUAUUUUAUUCACUGUUCACUUGCUAUUUUCACAGCUUGUCAAACGUUUAAAAAAAAUGUGCCAUGUGACACAAGUACCCUUCUGACACCACCUUGUUGCCAGAGUCUCCCUCGAUUGCUAUGAAAAGGACACGCCAUCAUGAUGCCUCUGAUAGUAACCCGAGUUACUGCCCUGAUGACACAGAUAGCUUCAUCAACAUGACAGGCUCUCUCAGUCAACACCACCUCAUAAGAUUGCCUGCUGCGGUUGUUCGAGAGCUAUCUCGUUUGCCGCCAAAAAUGCAGCAUCGAAAAGACCAGCAAGUGGGCUGUCAUCAGCAUCAUGCAGACAUGACCUCGCUGUGAGCAUUCCUAUGAAUGUUUGCAAGUAUCCCGCCAGCAACAUUCACCUGCCAGCAGAAACAGCUCUCACAGGCUCAUCAUUUGUACAAAUGCAGAAGAUGCAUGAGAUGCAGAGAGAUCUGGCGCUCAACACAUCCAC